UACGGAGGAUGCGAGCGUUAUCCGGAUUUAUUGGGUUUAAAGGGUGCGUAGGCGGAUCGUUAAGUCAGUGGUCAAAUUGAGGGGCUCAACCCCUUUCCGCCAUUGAAACUGGCGAUCUUGAGUGGAAGAGAAGUAUGCGGAAUGCGUGGUGUAGCGGUGAAAUGCAUAGAUAUCACGCAGAACCCCGAUUGCGAAGGCAGCAUGCCGGCUUCCGACUGACGCUGAAGCACGAAAGCGUGGGGAUCGAACAGG
rnacentral:rRNA from 1 species